GAUGAACGCUGGCGGCGUGCCUAAUACAUGCAAGUCGAGCGAACAGACGAGGAGCUUGCUCCUCUGACGUUAGCGGCGGACGGGUGAGUAACACGUGGAUAACCUACCUAUAAGACUGGGAUAACUUCGGGAAACCGGAGCUAAUACCGGCUCAUAUAUUGAACCGCAUGGUUCAAUAGUGAGAGACGGUUUUGCUGUCACUUAUAGAUGGAUCCGCGCCGCAUUAGCUAGUUGGUAAGGUAACGGCUUACCAAGGCAACGAUGCGUAGCCGACCUGAGAGGGUGAUCGGCCACACUGGAACUGAGACACGGUCCAGACUCCUACGGGAGGCAGCAGUAGGGAAUCUUCCGCAAUGGGCGAAAGCCUGACGGAGCAACGCCGCGUGAGUGAUGAAGGUCUUCGGAUCGUAAAACUCUGUUAUUAGGGAAGAACAAAUGUGUAAGUAACUAUGCACGUCUUGACGGUACCUAAUCAGAAAGCCACGGCUAACUACGUG
rnacentral:rRNA from 1 species